rnacentral:rRNA from 1 species
UACGGGGGGGGCAAGCGUUGUUCGGAAUUACUGGGCGUAAAGGGCUCGUAGGCGGCCAACUAAGUCAGACGUGAAAUCCCUCGGCUUAACCGGGGAACUGCAUCUGAUACUGGAUGGCUUGAGUUCGGGAGAGGGAUGCGGAAUUCCAGGUGUAGCGGUGAAAUGCGUAGAUAUCAAGAGGAACACCUGCGGCGAAGGCGGGUUGCUGGGCCGACACUGACGCUGAGGCGCGAAAGCCAGGGGAGCGAACGGG